AUGCCACGCGCCGCGCCCGGGCUAGGGUUCCCCGCCGCAGCCGCCGACCCAGCGCCCGAGCGCCGCCACCCUCCGUCCUCCCGGCGGAAGAAGCCGCCGCCGCGCCGAAGGCGCCCCGCACCGCCAACGCCACCCGCGCCGCCGGAGGGGCCACGCGGUGCAGCCGAUCCAGAUCCGGGCCUCCUCCACCCCCGCGGCGGCAGCCACGCCUCGCGCGCCACAGCUCCCAGAGGCGAGGACGGCGACGACGACGAGGACGAGGGAGGCUACGACGCGGCGGGCUUGGAGGAGGCGGCGGCCGGCGACUCCUUCUCCCACUCGCUGAAAGCAGAGUGCCAGAAGCAGCUGCAGCGCAGGGCGGAGGCGCGGCCGCCGGCGCCCGCGCAUGAGCUCGGCAACGGCGACGCGUUCGGGGGGAUCGAGCUGCUCGUGCUCUCGCCGAGGUGCUUGCUCGGGGCUGCCGUGGGAGGGAUGAGCAAGAGCUCGACCGCGUCGUCCAGAAGCAGAUCAGGCACGUUUCCGAGCCCCGGGACGCCCAACUACAACCGGCAUUGCGCUGGCAACAUGCAGUACCCCAAGGGCUGGAGCUCGGAGCGGGUGCCGCUGGGGGCAGGCGCCAACAGGAGGUAUGGGGGCAGCGGGGUCGUGCUCCCUUUCAACAAUGGGAGGAAGCUGCCGUCGAAAUGGGAGGACGCCGAGAAGUGGAUCCUGAGCCCGGUUUCCUGUGAUGGGAUGGGGAGGAUGUCGGCACCGGCGCCGCAUCAUAGACGGCCAAAGUCCAAGAGUGGGCCGCUUGGUCACCCUGCUGGUGUUCCAGGAGCUUAUGCAUCUGUUUCGCCGAUGAUUCCCUGCUUCGAUGGUGUUCUGGCGGCCGCUAAUUUUGCGGCUCAUUCGCCUUUCUCUGCCGGGGUUCUCAUGCCAGGGCACGCGCGCAACGGUGACUUCAGCAGUGGGAGAGCCAGAAGUGGGGAUGAUGGAAGCAGUAGGUCGUAUUCGGCUGAGAAGGAACCGUAUAUAUGGAGAUCAGCAAGUACACACGCGUGGACAGAAACACUUAUGGAGGCAUCUGCCUUUGCUCAUAUCUCAGAGGAAGCUGCACAAGAUGAUGUCUUACAAGGCCAACAAGGAGCAACUCCUGUGAUUUCCAGUCCAAUCAUAAAGAAAGAUGUUGCCACACAAAUGAGUCCUGAUGACAGUAUAAUAUCGUCCUCCCCAAAAGCGAGGCAUUCCUGCUCCAGCUUGCCGUCAGGACAUGCUAUUAGAGAAUCAAAUAGUCAUACACCUAAGGUUGAAGUUAGGGAUGUGCAGGUAGAUGAUCAAGUAACUGUUACCCGGUGGUCCAAGCGACAUGUAACACGAGGCUCUGAUAAGCGAUCAACAAAUAUUGUUGAAUGGAGGAAGAAGACUACAGAGGCCCGGGCUCCAUCUUUUGAUGAAAAAGAAAGAGAAAGAUGCAUAUCAAAGUGCAAGAGAGAGGAAGCAAAGAUCACUGCUUGGGAAAAUCUGCAGAAAGCAAAAGCAGAGGCAGCAAUUCGGAAGUUGGAGAUGAAGCUUGAAAAGAAGAGGUCAUCAUCGAUGGAUAGAAUUUUGGGCAAACUACGUUCUGCUCAAAAGAAAGCACAAGGCAUGCGCACUACAGUUUCUGUCAGUGAGGAUCAGUGUGCUGUCAGUGAAGAUCAGUGUGCUGUGAGGGCAACCAAGAAGGCAUCCUUGAGAAGGACUAGCAAGCCUUUCAGCUGCUGUUUCACCUAUCAUGCUUGCUAG
rnacentral:rRNA from 1 species